CAGUAGCCGCGGGAAAACGUAGGGUGCAAGCGUUAAUCGGAAUUACUGGGCGUAAAGCGUGCGCAGGCGGUUCGCUAAGACAGAUGUGAAAUCCCCGGGCUUAACCUGGGAACUGCAUUUGUGACUGGCGGGCUAGAGUAUGGCAGAGGGGGGUAGAAUUCCACGUGUAGCAGUGAAAUGCGUAGAGAUGUGGAGGAAUACCGAUGGCGAAGGCAGCCCCCUGGGCCAAUACUGACGCUCAUGCACGAAAGCGUGGGGAGCAAACAGGAUUAGAUACCCCCGUAGUCCCUGUCUCUUAUAC
rnacentral:rRNA from 1 species